GCCGGCGGGGCGCGGAGGGCGCGCGUGCGCGGAGCGCGCGGCACUGCGGCGGGGUCGGGCUCCCCGGGCUCGUCCUCUUUAUCCUCCCCAUCCUCUUCAUCCUCGCUUGCCAAGCGCGUUUCCCUCUCUCCCCAUUGGCUGAACUCCCUGAGAGCUCGGUGCGGAGGAGGCGCCGGGCACUUCGAAGGCAGCCAGGGUCUGGGAAUUUUCCUGCAUUAUUUUGAGAAAAUAAUUUUAUGUUGAGCUGUUUCUGUGUUCCUGACUUUGUUUACAUCGGGGACGUGUGGCUCGGAGCUCAGCAGCCGGAUAUGUUACUGACCCACGUCAGGUUGGUCUGCACUAGUGCAGGUGAUGAAUUGCAGGAUGGCUUGGGAACUCGGAAACAAGGAGAAGAACCUAUUGUGUCUCUUUGCAAAAAGAUUUGGCUACAUCAGGGCAUUAAUUCAGGGAACUAACACUUCAUCUUUAACGUUCUGUGCUCUGCUAUCCUCAUUAACGUUCUGUGCUCUGCCAUCCUCACUGUGAGCCCUGAAAGCCUCCUGAGCUGUUCUCAUACAGACCUAACUUGUUUGGUCCAAAAAAUCUUAUUUUUGUUUGGACAAAAAGAUUUUAUUACUGUGUGCAAACUCAUGGGGAAGAUUUAUUCAACAUCACUCAGUGGGACAUUGUCCUGGUUUGGAGGACAGGUAUCCGCCAAUAAAGGCAGAAGUUUUCCUUUGAAAUAGAGACCUUAAUUCCACUCCCCCCCCCCCCCCCCCCCCCCCCCCCCCCCCCCCCCCCCCCCCCCCCCCCCCCCCCCCCCCCCCCCCCCCCCCCCCCCCCCC
rnacentral:lncRNA from 12 species